rnacentral:rRNA from 1 species
AGUGAACGCUGGCGGUAGGCCUAACACAUGCAAGUCGAACGGCAGCACAGUAAGAGCUUGCUCUUACGGGUGGCGAGUGGCGGACGGGUGAGGAAUACAUCGGAAUCUACUGGUUCGCGGGGGAUAACGUAGGGAAACUUACGCUAAUACCGCAUACGACCUACGGGUGACAGCAGGGGAUCUUCGGACCUUGCGCGAGUGAAUGAGCCGAUGUCGGAUUAGUUAGUUGGCGGGGUAAAGGCGCACCAAGGCGACGAUCCGUAGCUGGUCUGAGAGGAUGAACAGCCAGCCUGGAACUGAGAAACGGUCCAGACUCUGACGGGGGGCAGCAGUGGGGAAUAUUGGGCAAUGGACGAAAGCCUGAUCCAGCCAAACCGCGUAAGUGAAGAAGGCGUUAGGCUUGUAAAGCCCUUUUGUUGGGAAAGAAAAGCAGCACGUUCAUCCCCCGCUGUUCUGACGGUACCCAAAGAAUAAGCACCGGCUAACUUCGUG